rnacentral:lncRNA from 1 species
ACCUGUCUAAUUUUUUGUAGAGUCAAGGUUACCUAUGGUUCCCAGGCUGGUCUUAAACUCUUGGCCUUGAGCAAUUCUCCCAUUUUGGCCUUCCAAAGUGCUGAGAUUACAGAUGUGAGCUAUUAUGCCCAGCCUACUUUCUGAGUUUUAAAAGAUGAAAAUAAAUUUUUCAGAAUAGCAGGGGAAAACAUUUGUGAUGUAAAAAAUGGGGUGCACACUAAUUGAGGUAUAAAGAACAAUAAUUUUGCAAAUUAUUAGUAACUGCCAACUCAAUUAGAGUCUUGUUAAAAAGAUACUGUUAUGAAGUAUAGUAAAGCAUUACAUUGUAUAUUUUGACUGUAUUUCAAAUUUCUGUUUUGUUUCCAACAGUUUUGUUGACUUAUGUUGGGUGGAACAAUUUGUGAGUGACCCUGAGAUUUUGCAUGGCUUGAAUCUGGUGAUAUCUGGUGUCUCCCCAAGUGUUUUGUUGAAGUUUUGGAUAAUUAGAAGUAUUUCUUACAGAAGUAAAUAUUUCAGUAAACAUUGUUUCAUUCAAACUCUCAAAAUAUAAAAUACAAAGAAAUGUUAUUCUCUAUUUAUUUUUAUAAAGAUUAUAGUCUUUAUCUAACUCUUCUUAGUUCAUUUGAACUAAAUCAAUGAAUUUGUCAACAGAACAAACCUUACCAGUGGCUUAGAGGAAGAGCAAGAAAGGUGUGAAAGAAGUGAAAAGAAGCAAUCACAGGUCAAAGAAGGAAAUAAUACAAACAAAAGUGAAAAAAUACAACUAUCAGAAAAUGUAUGUCAUAGUACAUCUUCUGCUGCUGCUGACAGAUUAACCAAACAAAGAAAGGUUGGGAAAACGUAUCCUCAGCAAUUUCCCAAGAAACUGAAGGAAGAGCAUGAUAGAUGCAUCUUAAGACAAGAAAGUGAAGAAAAAACAAAUGUUAAUAUGCUGUACAAAAAAAUAGAGAAGAAUUAGAAAGG